AGUAAUCUUGCUGUCUCUAUUUCAAAAAACAUACUAUUUUAUACUUUUGUUUUUAUUUUAAUAGAUGUAAAUUGGUAAUAUUGGUGGAGGACCAAGAAAGAGCAUUUUCAAGCACCUUCCAUGUGAGAGACUGCUGGAGAGAACUGAUUUACUGAGACAACAUGGCAUUUAAGCUGAAAAAAGAGGAGGAUGUGGAGUCAUUGCAAGAAGGAGCGACAAAACAACUGAUAGGUUAAGUACAGAACAAUUAUACCAAAGAAGUUCUCACACUGUUAAGAAAGUUCUAGGACUCACACCAGAUUUCCCAACCUGGGGAUCUGGCAAAGAGACUG
rnacentral:lncRNA from 1 species